GACAGAGGAUGCAAGCGUUAUCCGGAAUGAUUGGGCGUAAAGCGUCUGUAGGUGGCUUUUUAAGUCCGCCGUCAAAUCCCAGGGCUCAACCCUGGACAGGCGGUGGAAACUACCAAGCUGGAGUACGGUAGGGGCAAAGGGAAUUCCCGGUGUAGCGGUGAAAUGCGUAGAUAUCGGGAAGAACACCAAAGGCGAAAGCACUUUGCUGGGCCGAAACUGACACUGAUAGACGAAAGCUAGGGGAGCAAAUGGG
rnacentral:rRNA from 1 species